CCUACGGGUGGCAGCAGUGGGGGAUCUUGCACAAUGGGGGAAACCCUGAUGCAGCGACGCCGCGUGAGUGAAGAAGUAUUUCGGUAUGUAAAGCUCUAUCAGCAGGGAAGAAAAUGACGGUACCUGACUAAGAAGCCCUGGCUAAAUACGUGCCAGCAGCCGCGGUAAUACGUAGGGGGCAAGCGUUAUCCGGAUCUACUGGGUGUAAAGGGAGCGUAGACGGUGAGGCAAGGCAGAAGGGAAAGCCCGGGGCUAAACUCCGGGACUGCUUUGGAAACUGUGUGACUGGAGUGCAGAAGAGGUAAGCGGAAUUCCUGGUGUAGCGGUGAAAUGCGUAGAGAUCAGGAGGAACACCAGUGGCGAAGGCGGCUUACUGGACUGUAACUGACGUUGAGGCUCGAAAGCGUGGGGAGCAAACAGGAUUAGAUACCCGAGUAGUC
rnacentral:rRNA from 1 species